AUGUUAGGAAACCUUCCUAAUAAGGUAAGGACUGGAGUGGAUCAUCUAGAUGGGUUCAAGAAUCACCAUCCUUGGGGAAGGUCUAUCAGACAGCCCAAACAAACUGCUUCAGGAGGAGUGUUGUGCCUCAGAUACAGCCUUCAAGUGGAAACCGUUGUCUCAUUGUCAUCAUCUCUAUCUAUAAAUAUGGACAAAAUUAGUAAUUGAUGUAAAUAUGUUUACCUCUGCUCAUAUUGAAUUUCCUUCGUUAUUCGUUUUGCCUUUGUGUAAUCACUGAUAUGUUUUCUCGUUGCUCUUACAUCUCAGAGCAAGGAAAGAAAAGAAAAAUGAAAAGAAAGAGCAGAAACAGGGAAGUUUUGUUCUAAGGUUGCUCCCAUGCAGUAAAAAUAUAUAUAUAAAAAAAAAUCUGUCAAAAGAGAGUAACAGUACAGUAGCUAAGUUAACAUGUUGGAAUGUACAGAUAUUUUUUUUUUCCUAAGAAAGGGAAAAACAUGGUCAGUCUUUAGAACCUGCUUUGAUUUCUCUGAAUCAUAAAACACCCCAAUGAAAAUUAAUUGUAUGGACUUCAUGCCUUGGAAUCUUGCUCGUUACAGGGUGACGCACCAUCUCGGUUCCUGGCACACCAGGUGAUUCAUGUGGUUCAUAAAUAACCAUUGAUCCACCCAAGGAGUUCCUGGAGCUCAGAUCCAGCCUCACAAAGGGUGGCCAGCUCGGUAAGAGGAUAUUGCAGACUCAGAGUUUACUCAGACAGGGAGCUGUCAGCCCAGAAGUGGGGAGGGAGAUUUCCAGCAGUCAGCAUAUGGAGCAAGUGGGUGCUCAGAGCAGCUGACAGCCCAUGCUGAGGAGGAGGGUGUGCCUGAGAUAUUCCUUCUUUCCUAGAUUUAGGAAAUCAGGACAGAUUCUCCUCCUGACCAGACAGUGGAGUCCAAGAAGCAGCUCCUGAAUAGUGGUGUAAAAAUAUUGAUGUUGGUGUCAUUCUCAUAGGAAACCUUGUCUUCUGAAUUCCAACUUUCUCUAUGGAGAGCACUGAACAGAAUACAUAGGAAAACAUCUUUGUUCCAGCCAGAAGUGUAUGAAAUGUGGGAGACUGUCUUUUUACAAGGAUGGAUAGUGACAGGACAAGGGGGAGUGGUUUUAAACAAAGAGAGGUUUAGAUUAGAUGUUAGGAGGAAAUUUUGCAUUCGAUUUUUGAGGCAGUGGAACAGGUUUCCCAGAGAAAUGUGGAUGCCUCAUCCCUGCAGGUGACCAAGGUCAUGGAUGGGAUCCUGGGCAACCUGAGCUGGUGGGGGCAGCCAGCCCAUGGCGGGGGGUUGGAACUGGAUGAUCUUUGAGGUCCCUUCCAACCCAACCAUUCUGUGAUUCUAUAUUGGGAAACAAAUAAAUGGACCUUCCAGCUUUGCUUUGCUUUUCUC
rnacentral:lncRNA from 1 species